AGGAAGAACACCGAGGCACUGUAAUCAAUGCACAGCGCUCUGAGGACCGCACCUACCGUUCCAUCCACACAGGAAGACUAAAGAAACAAGUCAAGCUGUAUUUCAUAAGCUGUCAAUAUACAGACAAUGGACAAACACAAGAAGAGAAACAGCCUAAAGGAGGAUGAAGACCUAUAUAUCCAUCACCUACUAACUACAAAGCAAAACCACCGUGUGACUAAAGGAAAAUCACUCACUGCUCACUGGGGUGUAAAACGUGGCUCCAAGGAUUGCUUGUGUAUAUGCAGGCGUUUUAAAGAAGAAUACAUCUUAUGUUAUGACAAGGAGAUGGGGAGGAAGGAAGAGCCUCGCCGUCCAGUCAGCGCUCCUCACUUCUGCUGGAGAUGACCGCCUUUCUCUGGAUUGAACGCACAGGUCAGUUGGGAUUUCCUAAGCUGGAAAAGGAGAAUCUGUAGCUGAAUUAAAAGGGUUGCUGCACUGUUACUAGCUGGCUUGUUUCCACAAAAUGCUCUUGAUCCCUGCUAACUCAAAAACCUUAAAAAAGGAAUUUUUCUGGUAUAAGUUUAUGAAAACAAAACAAAAAACCAAACAAACCUAAAAACCCAAAAAGAGCAUAACUAGCAAGAACAAUGAGUUUAAGCAUUUGAUCCUAAAGAAACUGCCAAGUGGCUAUAUACUUAUGCAUAAUCUGAAAUGCUGCAGUUUCUUUAGCAAUUUCCAUUAGUCUAACAGUAAAAAGCCAUACAACUAUCAAAAAUGCCCUUAUUCUAAGUGUCAUUGUGGACAAUGUACCUCUGAUGACUAUCAAAAUGAGGCCUACUUACUGUAAAAUUAUCAGAUGGAUAAAACUUAUUAAUGGCUUUAAACUGUACCAAUAACAGUACCAACGUUCUACAAAACAAAAGGCUGACUGUAACUGAAUGUCAAAUACAUUUCAGAAAAUGGAUUUAAAGAAUGCUACAAAUGCCAUCUGUACAUCAUGAUGAUCGGCCAACACAGAAAACCCAACCUGCUGUACUUAUUUAGUCCCCCAGCUAGUCAGAUUAUGAUUUCUCAUGUGCAGAUUUAGGCACCUCUCCAUCUUUGUCGUCAUCCUCCUCAUCACAAUCCCCAUCUGUCUGCUGCUCCAGCUCCUCCUUCGUGAUCAUUUCAAAAUCAUUCCCGUUCCCGCUACUGUGUUGCGAGCGGUCGUCUUCCCGCCUGUCACUGUCCGUGUCUGAGUGCCGCUCUCCGCCCGAGCCUUCUGGUCCAUGGUCUGCCGGAGCUCCUUUCCCUUCCUCAUCCUCCUUUUUCUCACUGUCUGACUUUUCCUCACUGUCGGACUUCUGCUGCUUUUUGGUUUCAGAUUUCUCAUCCUUCUUUAAGUCUGCUUUUGGUCCUUUGUACUCAUGUGUGUACAGGGGCCUGAAGGAGUCAAUGAAGCCCACGUCAGCAGUCAGGUUUGGCAGGAACCAAAAGUGGUGCCUUCCUCCAGUUAUCAGCCAGAUGAUGAGAAACAGGAUGCAGCGAGCUGUGGGGAGCAAGGUUUCUCUUGAAUAAAUGAAAUUAAGCCUUGAAGCAGCUACAGGUAAUAUUUGUUUGUAAGAACCUAGACAAUAUUUAGCUC
rnacentral:lncRNA from 1 species